UACGGAGGGUGCAAGCGUUAAUCGGAAUUACUGAGCGUAAAGCGCACGCAGGCGGUUUGUUAAGUCAGAUGUGAAAUCCCCGGGCUCAACCUGGGAACUGCAUUUGAAACUGGCAAGCUAGAGUCUCGUAGAGGGGGGUAGAAUUCCAGGUGUAGCGGUGAAAUGCGUAGAGAUCUGGAGGAAUACCGGUGGCGAAGGCGGCCCCCUGGACGAAGACUGACGCUCAGGUGCGAAAGCGUGGGGAGCAAACAGG
rnacentral:rRNA from 1 species